rnacentral:rRNA from 1 species
AUUGAACGCUGGCGGCAGGCCUAACACAUGCAAGUCGAACGAGUGGCGGACGGGUGAGUAAUGUCUGGGAAACUGCCUGAUGGAGGGGGAUAACUACUGGAAACGGUCGCUAAUACCGCAUACCAUCAGAUGUGCCCAGAUGGGAUUAGCUUGUUGGUGGGGUAACGGGUCACCACGGCGACGAUCCCUAGCUGGUCUGAGAGGAUGACGAGCCACAGUGGAACUGGGACGCGGUCCAGAGUCCUAGGGGAGGCAGCAGGCGGGAAUAGUGCAUAAUGGGCGCAAGCCGGAUGCAGCCAGGCCGCGUGUAUGAAGAAGGCGUUCGGGUUGUAAAGUACUUUCGGCGGGGAGGCGUUACCCGCAGAAGAAGCACCGGAUAACUCCGUGCCAGCAGCCGCGGUAAUUC